AUGCGUAAGAAAAAGAAACUAAGGCACGCAAAGCAGUGGAGGAGACUAAGCUCGGUAGCCAACGGCUAUAAAUACCUCACCACCUUGUUCGCACCAUCCAAAGAAACACAGAGUUCCAGCAGAGACGUGAAACCCCAGAGUGCUCCCACCAUGGCUGCCAUGUGGUCUCGGAUCAUCGGUCUCCUCCUCCUGCUCCCACUCGGGCCCUCCUCCGCCAUCAAGUUCCCGCUCAUAGGCAACGUCUACCCUGAUGGCCACUUCUAUGCUACGUUGCAGAUUGGUCACCCCUUGAAGCCCUACUUCCUGGACAUCGACACUGGCAGCAACCUCACUUGGCUGGAGUGUGACCUCCCACAUCAGCGCUGCAAGGGCUGCCACCCGAGGCCAGCACACCCACAUUACAAGCCAGCAGCUCAUAACUUGAUGGUGAGAUGUCACAGCUGGAUAUGUGCUGAGCUACGCAAAGACCUGCCUGGUAGCCCUAAAUGCCCCAAGAACGAUCCAGAUCGAUGCCACUACGACAUCCAGUAUGUCUCCGGGAAGUCAAAAGGUGUCCUUGUCAACGACAUGAUGUUUAUCAAUGGGAGAGAUGAUAAAAACUGCUUUUUCGGAUGUGGAUACGAGCAGGAGGAACCAGUAGAUCAGCCAUCGCCGCCGCCUGUAGAUGGCAUCCUUGGACUUGGAAGGGGAAAUGUAGGAUUUGUCGCGCAACUCAAGGUGCAUAACAAGAUAACCAAGAAUGUCAUUGGACAUUGCCUCAGCAUCCAUGGAAAUGGGAACCUAUACAUUGGGGACUUCAGGCUGCCCGAUGGCCACAUCACCUGGGUACCCAUGAGUAGAUCAUUGCCUUACUACUCACCUGGCCCAGCAACACUGCUCUAUGACAAACAUCCGAUAAGAGAUAAUCCAGCAUUUAAUGUAGUAUUUGACAGUGGCUCCACCUACACUUACAUGCCUGGCCAGAUAUACCAUGACCUUCUUUCAAAGGUUCAAGAGACUCUCCGAAAAUCACCACUUAAAAAGGUUUAUGAUCCUGCUCUGCCUCAAUGCUGGAAAGGAAUAAUGCCAUUCAGAUCUGUCGACAAUGUGAAGAAUGAAUUCAAGGCACUGUCGCUAAAAAUUACCCAUGCCCAUGUCACCAGCAACUUCAAUAUCCCCCCUGAAAACUACCUCAUCGUGACGAAAUACGGGAAUGUGUGCUUGGGCAUCCUUGAUGGCUCAUCGCAUCCUCUUCUGAAGCAUCUCAUCUUAAUUGGAGAUGUUACGAUGCAGGAUCUGUUUGUGAUAUAUGACAACGACAAAAACCGCCUCGGAUGGAUCAAUGCACAGUGCAACGCGAUGCAUGACCUUGAGUCUGUCAUGGAUUCACGUCUCUGA
rnacentral:rRNA from 1 species